rnacentral:snRNA from 1 species
ACGUUUUGGCUAAGAUCAAGUGUAGUAUCUGUUCUUAUCAGUUUAAUAUCUGAUACGUCCCCUACCCGGGGACCAUAUAUUAAAUAGAUUUUUGGAACAGGGAGAUGGAAUAGGGGCUUGCUCCGUCCACUCCACGCAUCGACCUGGUAUUGCAGUAUCUCCAGGAACGGUGCACUCCCU